CAGCCAUUUUCUUUCGUGUUUGAAUAUAUAGGAAUAUUAAAAACAUGGACCUUUAUUCAACCAACACACAUAACGAUUACAUAAUUUAGAAAAUCAUGACAACCACAAAAGUAUUUAAUUAGUAGCUUAGUACAUAACAUUAUAUGACAACACAAUAUACUAAUUUCUUAUUAAGCUUUUGGUAGAGCAAUAUUAUUAUUGUCAUUAAUACAAUAAUUCUCAUUGCAACUUUCACACUUGUCAUGAUCUGCAAAAUUAACGAGUAAUUAGGACUAAGGAGCAUGUAUGUUUGAAAUAUAUUCAAUUUUAGAUCGAUCAUCACUAAUCACUCCGUCUAUACAUAAAUAUAAAAUAAAAACAUUAUUAUAACAUACCGUAUUUGUUGAUGAGAAAUUUGUAACAAUGGCCAAGAGAGC
rnacentral:lncRNA from 1 species